GGGGCUACUGUAGUUCUGGCCAACGACCCUGACGCUGACACCGCCUGGCCGUUGCUGAGCAACAGAAAGGUGGUCAGUGGCGUGUGUUCAGUGGUAAUGAGUUGGGGGCGUUGCUGGGUUGGUGGGUGUAUCAGUGUUGGAAACAGACCAACCCGGACCAGUCUACCGUGAAGUCGGUCUACAUGUUGGCCUCCACCGUCUCCUCUAAGAUUCUACGAGCCAUCGCUCUCAAGGAGGGCUUCCACUUCGAGGAAACUCUGACUGGGUUCAAGUGGAUGGGCAACAGAGCCAGAGAGCUGCUGGACCAGAACAAGAUUGUACUGUUCGCCUUCGAGGAGGCUAUAGGGUACAUGUGUGGUUAAAGAUGGGGUCAGUCCUCUCGCCCCUCGUUGUGUUGCAGGGUACAUGUGUGGUUAAAGAUGGGGUCAGUCCUCUCGCCCCUCGUUGUGUUGCAGGGUACAUGUGUGGUUAAAGAUGGGG